rnacentral:rRNA from 1 species
UACGGAGGGUGCAAGCGUUAUCCGGAUUUAUUGGGUUUAAAGGGUGCGUAGGCGGCUUUUUAAGUCAGUGGUGAAAUCCUAGUGCUUAACACUAGAACUGCCAUUGAAACUAAAGAGCUUGAGUCAAGGAGAGGUAAGCAGAAUUUAUGGUGUAGCAGUGAAAUGCUUAGAUAUCAUAAGGAAUACCGAUAGCGAAGGCAGCUUACUGGCCUUGUACUGACGCUGAGGCACGAAAGCGUGGGGAGCAAACAGG